AUGAGUGGUGUUUGGUUUGAUACGGGUGGUCGGCUCCCUGCUUGAGCAGGCACGGCCACGCGUGCAUUCCUUUUCAGUUGUGCGGCAAGGCUUGUAUCGUCUUGAUCGUAUAAGUGGGUUUCUUGUGUUGCAUACCUGAUCAAUGGCAUCGUUUUGAUCAAAAUGGUACCUUUUUCGUCUGACGAUGCACUUAUUGCGUUGUCGGAUGAACCGUGUAGCAUCCUCUUUGAUCCAUACAGUUGACGUGUACUCGUUGAUUGUUUGGCCCGUUGAGGGUGACUUGGUCUCUCGGAUAUGGAAGCCAAAGUGGGCAUGGGUUYGCAAGAUCCCUUUAUUGCCCUCAUUGAGCGUUCUCGCUUCUCUUACACGACUGCCUUUCACGUAUGGCACGUCCCAGCGUGUUUGGCUAUGUCGAAGAGGAAU
rnacentral:misc_RNA from 1 species